rnacentral:rRNA from 1 species
AACACAUGCAAGUCGAACGAGAAAGUGGAGCAAUCCAUGAGUAAAGUGGCGCACGGGUGAGUAACACGUGACUAACCUACCCUGGAGUGGGGGAUAACUGAGGGAAACCUUAGCUAAUACCGCAUAAUACCCACGGGUCAAAGGAGCAAUUCGCUUCAGGAGGGGGUCGCGGCCGAUUAGUUAGUUGGCGGGGUAAUGGCCCACCAAGACAGUGAUCGGUAUCCGGCCUGAGAGGGCGCACGGACACACUGGAACUGAAACACGGUCCAGACUCCUACGGGAGGCAGCAGUGGGGAAUUUUGCGCAAUGGGGGAAACCCUGACGCAGCAACGCCGCGUGGAGGAUGAAGUACUUCGGUACGUAAACUCCUUUCGAUCGGGACGAUUAUGACGGUACCGGAAGAAGAAGCCCCGGCUAACUUCGUGCCAGCAGCCGCGGUAAUACGAGGGGGGCAAGCGUUGUUCGGAAUUAUUGGGCGUAAAGGGUGCGUAGGCGGUUUGGUAAGUCUUGUGUGAAAUCUAUGGGCUCAACUCAUAGACUGCACGAGAAACUGCCGGGCUUGAGUGUGGGAGAGGUGAGUGGAAUUCCUGGUGUAGCGGUGAAAUGCGUAGAUAUCAGGAGGAACACCAGUGGCGAAGGCGGCUCACUGGUCCGGUACUGACGCUGAGGUGCGAAAGCGUGGGGAGCAAACAGGAUUAGAUACCCUGGUAGUCCACGCCGUAAACUAUGAGAGCUAGCCGUUGGGGGGUUUACCUUUCAGUGGCGCAGCUAACGCAUUAAGCUCUCCGCCUGGGGAGUACGGUCGCAAGAUUAAAACUCAAAUGAAUUGACGG